rnacentral:tRNA from 1 species
CUGGGGUUGUGGCUCAGUGGUAGAGCACUUGCCUCACAAGUGUGAGGCACUAGUUUGAUCCUAGCACCACAUA